rnacentral:rRNA from 1 species
GUCGUGGGGAAACGGCAUUAUGUGCUUGCACAUUCUGGACGUCGACCGGCGCACGGGUGAGUAUCGCGUAUCCAACCUGCCCCUUACUUGGGGAUACCCCGUUGAAAGACGGCCUAAUACCCGAUGUGUUUCAUUGACGGCAUCCGAUAUGAAACAAAGGUUUUUCCGGUAAGGGAUGGGGAUGCGUCUGAUUAGCUAGUUGGCGGGGCAACGGCCCACCAAGGCGACGAUCAGUAGGGGUUCUGAGAGGAAGGUCCCCCACAUUGGAACUGAGACACGGUCCAAACUCCUACGGGAGGCAGCAGUGAGGAAUAUUGGUCAAUGGACGCAAGUCUGAACCAGCCAAGUAGCGUGCAGGAUGACGGCCCUAUGGGUUGUAAACUGCUUUUAUGUGGGAAUAAAGUGGUGCACGUGUGCGCCAUUGCAUGUACCUCAUGAAUAAGGACCGGCUAAUUCCGUGCCAGCAGCCGCGGUAAUACGGAAGGUCCGGGCGUUAUCCGGAUUUAUUGGGUUUAAAGGGAGUGUAGGCGGUCUGUUAAGCGUGUUGUGAAAUUUAGGUGCUCAACAUUUAACUUGCAGCGCGAACUGUCAGACUUGAGUACACGCAGCGCAGGCGGAAUUCAUGGUGUAGCGGUGAAAUGCUUAGAUAUCAUGAGGAACUCCGAUCGCGAAGGCAGCCUGCGGGAGUG